AGGACGGCAUCCCGUGGGAGGGACCCGCGUGGAGCAGGGGCAGAGAGGGACCGUGAGGGAGCGGCGGGGAGGAAGCGUUGGAGGCGUUGGAGACUGACCACAGCGGGAGCGAGAGAGCAGCGUGCUGGAGCAGAGCCUCCCAGCAGCACGAAGCCACUACAGCACCGCUGUCCCCAGCCUGCAACGCAGGCAGAUGGAGCAAACCUGCCCCAGCACCACAGGCUCCCAGGCAGAAAGGGGGACAUGGGCACCAUCUGCCCUCUCUGCACCGAGAUAAGAGUCUGUUCGGCACGUCUGUUCGGCGAGACGUGAGGUCAAAGGCUGAGCGUUCCUACAGCCUCAACACAGCAGCUGCAGGGAAGGAGGGAUGGAUCCUCACCUGAGAAAUGCACGGUCACAGGACUCGCAAGAAGGACCACGUCUGGGGGUUCAGAGCCCUGAAGAACAGACAAUGAUUUUGCAAGGUCCAAGAGGACUACUGGCACUUUCCAUGACCAAAUGGCAACCCCGGGAUUUUCCCACCACCACCUCCCUUGGCUCCUUCGUGGUGCUCUUGUUUUUGCAACUGGCUAAAAACCAAAGCAUCUUUGGCGUUUCAAAUUCUAUUCUGAGCUUAGAAACCUUGGACCAAAACACGGCAUUUGCAAACCUGAAUUCUUCAUCCCCUGUUCUCUUACUUGUGGAACCCGCUCUUAUUUGCAGUGUCUCAUCAAUUCAGAGCUGGUGUCGGAUGGGUUUAGUCUAAUCCUAUCGAAAAAACCUGAGUGAAGGUUUUGUUUGUGGUAGGUUUUGUUUUGUUUUGUUUGUUUUUUAAAGGCUUUAGUCUUAGACUAACAUGAGAGAAAAACUUGCAGAGACUAGCAUGUCAUUUUGACUGCAGUAUGACAGAUAACUUUAUUUAUUCACAUUCGUACCCUCUACUGCAAUUCAAUCUAUUGUUCCAAUGUCUGAUUGCAUGUGGGAACCAGGGAUAUACCUUGUACUCUGACUGACAGUAUUCUAGGAAUUAAUUACAACUAUUUUUUGUUUAAUACAGGAAAAAUGUUUAUUGUCUAUUUUUUGUUAUUGCCUUCAGCGAUCAUCUGGAGAAUUCUUGUAGCUACAUGUCUCACAUGUAUUUAAAGUAAAAAAAAAAAAAAGAUACAAUGGCCUCUUUUUUUUCUUUUUUUUCUUCCUCUAGGAAGAGUUGCGUGGAGGCUGUUUGGCAGUGCGUGGGCGCAUUGUGUGUAUGUCAAACUCACCACGGGGAAGCUAAUGAGGGGAGAGGAGUUUUGCCUACAACUUAAACACCUCUUCCAGUCGUUCAUUUGACUGGCAUUUCAGGGAAAAGCCAAACCUUCGGGGAAGAAAGAAAAUCCUGAAGCGUGUAGGUGACAGGCAGCGAUGUUCAGCUGCAGUUGAUGUCGCGGCAUGGCUCUGCAGUUUCUGCUGGGAGGCUGAGCUGCCCUGGGAGAUGGCAAGCUGCCCUCCUGCUGUUGGCUUGCUCCAAGUGUUGAAUUUUCGUGCUGGACAUGCCUUGUGGCUCUCUGAGAUGCUCAGCUGCCCCGAUACCCCACCAAGGAGGCUCUCCUGUAGCUCCCACAUGCCCGGGAGCUUUGUGAUCUCUUUCC
rnacentral:lncRNA from 1 species